CCUACGGGUGGCAGCAGUGAGGAAUAUUGGUCAAUGGGAGAGAUCCUGAACCAGCCAAGCCGCGUGAGGGAAGACGUCCCUAUGGGUUGUAAACCUCUUUUGUCGGAGAACAAAACCCGGGACGUGUCCCGGACUGCGUGUAUCCGAAGCAAAAGCAUCGGCUACCUACGUGCCAGCAGCCGCGGUAAUACGGAGGAUGCGAGCGUUAUCCGGAUUUAUUGGGUUUCAAGGGUGCGUAGGCGGUCCGUUAAGUCAGCGGUAAAAUUGCGGGGCUCAACCCCGUCGAGCCGUUGAAUCUGGCAGACGUGAGUUGGCGAGUAGUACGCGGAAUGCGCGGUGUAGAGGUGAAAUGCAUAGAUAUCGCGCAGAACUCCGAGUGCGAAGGCAGCGUACCGGCGCCAGACUGACGCUGAGGCACGAAAGCGUGGGGAUCGAACAGGAGUAGAUACCCUUGUAGUC
rnacentral:rRNA from 1 species